AUUGAACGCUGGCGGCAUGCUUUACGCAUGCAAGUCGAACGGUAACAGGUUAAGCUGACGAGUGGCGAACGGGUGAGUAAUGCAUCGGAACGUGCCCGGUCGUGGGGGAUAACGCAGCGAAAGCUGCGCUAAUACCGCAUACGAUCUGAGGAUGAAAGCCGGGGACCGUAAGGCCUCGCGCGAUCGGAGCGGCCGAUGUCAGAUUAGGUAGUGGGUGGGGUAAAGGCUCACCAAGCCGACGAUCUGUAGCUGGUCUGAGAGGACGACCAGCCACACUGGGACUGAGACACGGCCCAGACUCCUACGGGAGGCAGCAGUGGGGAAUUUUGGACAAUGGGCGCAAGCCUGAUCCAGCAAUGCCGCGUGCAGGAAGAAGGCCUUCGGGUUGUAAACUGCUUUUGUACGGAGCGAAAAGGCUCUCUCUAAUACAGGGGGCUCAUGACGGUACCGUAAGAAUAAGCACCGGCUAACUACGUGCCAGCCGCCGCGGUAA
rnacentral:rRNA from 1 species